GUUGCAAAUUAUGGACCAGACCGGAAAGAAAAUCACAUAUAAGAGAAAUGAGAAAAGGAAUGUUUCAUAUUAAAAGAUAUUACAUUUGGUGAUAUUUUGCUGCUCAGUUUGUUGGUCUUUUCUGUCAAACCAAAAUGGCCUUUGAAUGUUCCUCAAUUGUUGUCUUAUUUUAUCGUUUCUGGUAAUAGUUUGGUCCAUUACAUCUUAAUACUCAACUCUAAUGUCCUGAUACACAAAUCUAUUUCGUCGUAACCAAACAUGUUUAAAAAAACUUUGCCAGGCUUAACUCAUAUAUUAAUGUCUAACAUAAUCAGUUAAACCUUUCAAUUUGUUUAAGAGAAAAUAUAAUUUGUACACAAAAAAAGGUCUUUUCAACCUUAUUUCAUGUUAUCCUACGCAUGGUUUAUCUGCCUGUUUUUAGACGAAAUGGUGUUAUAUUGGAAUGGCAAAUUGUGAAUCAUAAAAUUAAUGGUAUUAAUAAAGAUGAUAAUGAUGUUUACUUUUCACACUAAUGAUAAAUCUUCCAAGAAAGCAAAAAAAAGAUAAUUGUCAAUUUGUGAUUAUUUUGGGAAAACCAGUUUGUUGGAUUUUGCUGAAUUGAACUGAUUCCAGAAUUACCAGACAUUGAUAAACAUGGAACACAAUGGACACUAUUUGUUUUGUUUUGUAUUCGAGAUGAAGGUUUAUA